UUCAAGAUGCUUAUCGUGUUCAGCACAAUUUUGGGGACAAAGUAAAGUUUAUAGUAUAGUAUUUGGUGCUGACACUCUGGAUGAUGUGUUUAUUUUGUGAUUAGGACACUAUCUACGUCAUGAGUGAUUUCCAUCAAAUUAGCAAAUUAUGUAUGCGGUUCCAUUUCCAUGAUCUUAACUUGCUACCGUAGGUUUACCUUUCAUAUUGGUGUAUUUUGUUCAUGUGUGGAGACUAUAUAAAUUCUGGAGAAGAAUUCAGAGCAUUUCCUUAAGGACAAAAUAAAAGAACAGGAAUAGUAAUCAAGUGUUACUAUGUAGAAAACAUGUCGUUUAGGAUUACGUUUUGUUGUCUUGCGAGUAUUCAUCAUACAUUUUUUGAAGUUGCAGUUUUGUUUGCUUUCCUAUUCAUUAGUUUUUUCAAAACUUCACCACCAAAAGGCUUGCAUGUCUGUUCCUAGACUCUAUGGUUGGAAACAGUUUUUUUUUCCCUCGAGCUAUGCUCAGUUUUUUGUUUGUUUGUUAUAGUAUGUGAAACUGCUCGUUUGUUGCAUCUGCAAUUCAGUUUUUAAAAAAGAGGAAGUUGCACGAGAUAAAAUUGAGCUGCCAUCAGAUUUUCAAUUGCGAUUCAUGAUCAGGAACAGCUGUUAUUGAGAUCGGAGCAACGACCUUGUCCAUGACUCAGCACCAUGUGCUUGUUGGGGAAGAGUAUUUAACUAGUAUUUGCAUCUGUUGCGAGCGUUGAGAAAGGUCGCAGCACGUCUCGCAGAACCACUUGCGCAGCGAGGAAGGCAUUGUCGAGAGGAGGCAGUGGUGUUCAGCAACGCGAGGCGAUCGAGGCCGCGAGAUGGAUGUCUAGGCGAGGCAACGUCAUGUUGACUCAUGAACCGAUGCCUGCCAUGGCGACCGGACAAAACAAGCAGGACAGGCAGCUAUGGAUCGAGCACCGCGUCAAUAUUCUGAGGAUUACAAUUAGUUAUUAUUUAUAUUUAAUGCUCUAUGCAUGUGCUGCAGGAUUUGAUGUGAUGGAGAAUCUGAAUUUUUUUACAAACUUUUUUAGAACUAAACAAGGCCUGAUUUUGUCUUCCUAGAUGUCUGCUGAUGAGGUUCUGAAUGUGGAAUGGGUUUGCUGAUACAACCUCAAUUUUCUGCUAACAAAA